AAAAAUUUACAAAUUAGUAGAAACCCGCGUAUUCUCUUGCAAAGGUGAAUUUACGAAAUCCGUGAAUACGAACACAUUUAAAUGUGCAUAUAAUCUCAUAACCCUAUUCGCGUUAAGAAUCGUCGGAUUGAAUUGCGAAUUCUAACUUGUGCAAUCGCUGAUUGAAUUUGCUGCACCGAUUGAAUAUGAAAAGCCAUUCGGAAAAGAACCAAACUGCAUAAAGAGAUUUGGUCGUGCACACGCGUACAAACAAAUAUUUAGUAUUUACCCUCCAGGGAAACCCGAACUAGAGAAUCAAAUUUCUGGUUUAGUACUAGUUCUUUAUCGACAAAAACCAACUAGGAACUAGAUCCUCAUCAGCCCAAAAGCAUCGAAAUGUGGGAAAACAUGUC